GGGUAUCAAUAAAGAAGGGAUAAACAAUAUAUUGACCAAUACAAGUGACGUGAUAUAGACCAUGUAUGAAAUGAACAGUCAAACACUGAUGUUGACUGUAAGAAGCAAAUAGAAUUAGGUCGACAAUGGGGGAAGCGUUUGACUGAUAGUCGAGUCGACGUCAUUCAAGUCAAUGUCAUGGCGAGCAACAUUGACAUCGAUUCACCAAGUUUGGCUGAAAUCAAAUUGACUGCAAGGAUAAAAAUAGGGGGAACAGAUUAAUCGUAGUCGAAGUCUUAGGCGGUAGCAUUUAUCAAAAUUGUUGUUUGAAAGUUGUAUGAAUACAAUUAUUUUAGCCAAGUCCACGUACCUUGUGGACACAAAUUUGGAGUCUUGAUGUGCCUCCAAAGGUUCGCUUCUUCAUCUGGAGUCUAUGCCAAAAUGCCCUCCCAACGAAGGAAAACCUAUAUCGAAGAAAAAUUGUAAGUGACCCACGAUGCCCAGUAUGCUGUUCGUGUAUGGAAACUACAGAGCACUUGCUGUUUCUUUGCAAAUGGACAAAGCGAGUAUGGCAAGACCCGAUUUUUGAGCAGAUCAGGCCAAAUAACAGCAUCAAUCGCACGGAUCAGUGGAUUUUAAAAGCUUUCCGAAGAGAUCAGAACUCACCCGAUCGUGAACUCAUUAGUCUCAUCCUAUGGAACAUCUGGAAGGCGAGAAACAACCGGAUCUUCCGCGCAAAGGAACCCCAACCAGCAGAUCUGCUGUUAAUAGCAAAGGAACAACAGUACACGCUCAGCACGGGUAGAUCGAAAAAAGGCGAGCGAGCUCUCAAUCAAAACUCACCCGCUCACUGGAGGCCUCCGGAAGGGCAAAACCUGAAGUUGAACGUAGAUGCGUCGUGGAGACCCGGAGAUUUCCUCUGCUCUGUCGCUGGUAUCGCACGAGACGCAGCUGGAAGGGUUCUCGACGGCUUCGCGGCCACAGCUAGGGUUUCCUCGGCAGCUGAAGCGGAAACUCAAGCACUUUCUCACGGGAUAUCGUUUCUGCACAAACUCAAGACGAACCACGUGCGGGAUCUU
rnacentral:lncRNA from 1 species